rnacentral:lncRNA from 1 species
GGCACAAUCUCGGCUCACUGCAAGCUCCACCUCCCGGGUUCACACCAUUUUCCUGCCUCAGCCUCCUGAGUAGCUGGGACUAAAGGUGCCCGCCACCACUCCCGGCUAAUUUUUUGUAUUUUUUUAGUAGAGACGGAGUUUCACCGUGUUAGCCUGACCUUGUGCUCCGCCUGCCUCGGCCUCUCAAAGUGCUGGGAUUACAGAUUUUUUUGAGACACGGUCUCACUCUGUCAUCUAGGCUGGAGUGCAGUGGCGGGAUCUUAGCUCACUGCAACCUCCUCCUCCCAGGUCAAGCGAUCCUUCUACCUCAGCCUCCUGGGUAGCUGGGACCACAGGCACACGCCACCACGCCCAGCUAAUUUUUGUAUUUUUUGUAGAGAUGGGAUUUUGCCAUGCGGCCCAGGCUGGUCUCAAACUCCUGACCUCAGGUGAUCCGCCUGCCUCAGCCUCCCAAAGUGCUGGGAUUACAGGCAUGAGCCACAGCAGCCAUCUGACUUUUCUUUUUAAUGAAAAAAUUUCAAUCACUUCAUGGCAUCUUCAUGGCAUCUUGUUCUUUUCCUUUUUGCUUUUCUUCUUUAUUUAAAGCAACAUCUAUUUUUGUUCUUCUGAUUUCAAAAGUAACACACAUUUGUUUUGGACGAUUUGGGAAUCACAGAAAAGCACAAAGAAGAAAAUUAAAAUUAAUUUCACAAGCCAAUGAUAUUUUACUUCCAGUUUUUCUAGGUA